rnacentral:rRNA from 1 species
CCUACGGGAGGCAGCAGUAAGGAAUAUUGGACAAUGGGCGAAAGCCUGAUCCAGCCAUGCCGCGUGAAGGAUUAAGGUCCUCUGGAUUGUAAACUUCUUUUAUGUGGGACGAAAAAAGGGCAUUCUUGCUCACUUGACGGUACCAUAUGAAUAAGCACCGGCUAACUCCGUGCCAGCAGCCGCGGUAAUACGGAGGGUGCAAGCGUUAUCCGGAUUCACUGGGUUUAAAGGGUGCGUAGGCGGAUAGGUAAGUCAGUGGUGAAAUCUCGAAGCUUAACUUCGAAACUGCCAUUGAUACUAUCUAUCUUGAAUAUUGUGGAGGUUUGCGGAAUAUGUCAUGUAGCGGUGAAAUGCUUAGAUAUGACAUAGAACACCGAUUGCGAAGGCAGCAGGCUACACAUAUAUUGACGCUGAGGCACGAAAGCGUGGGGAUCAAACAGGAUUAGAUACCCUGGUAGUCCACGCCCUAAACGAUGAUUACUCGACAUACGCGAUACACUGUGUGUGUCUGAGCGAAAGCAUUAGAAUCCACCUGGAGACGUCGCAAGGAUGAACUCAAAUGAAUUGACGGCUUGGAGGACGNGCGAGGCGACACGAGGGAGGAGG